rnacentral:rRNA from 1 species
GAUGAACGCUGGCGGCGUGCCUAAUACAUGCAAGUCGAGCGAACGGACGAGAAGCUUGCUUCUCUGAUGUUAGCGGCGGACGGGUGAGUAACACGUGGAUAACCUACCUAUAAGACUGGGAUAACUUCGGGAAACCGGAGCUAAUACCGGAUAAUAUUUUGAACCGCAUGGUUCAAAAGUGAAAGACGGUCUUGCUGUCACUUAUAGAUGGAUCCGCGCUGCAUUAGCUAGUUGGUAAGGUAACGGCUUACCAAGGCAACGAUGCAUAGCCGACCUGAGAGGGUGAUCGGCCACACUGGAACUGAGACACGGUCCAGACUCCUACGGGAGGCAGCAGUAGGGAAUCUUCCGCAAUGGGCGAAAGCCUGACGGAGCAACGCCGCGUGAGUGAUGAAGGUCUUCGGAUCGUAAAACUCUGUUAUUAGGGAAGAACAUAUGUGUAAGUAACUGUGCACAUAUUGACGGUACCUAAUCAGAAAGCCACGGCUAACUACGUG